rnacentral:misc_RNA from 1 species
AUGAAUGACUAGAAAGACUUCGUCAAUGGGAUCUUCCUUUUACUUUAUUCUACUAUUUUCUAAAUCAUGUAGAUAAUUGGUCAUUACAUUAUGCUAUGGUUUGGCAUUGUGUCAUUAGAGAUUCACUUCAAUGCUUGCUCAUCACUUCUAAAUUCUGCUUCAUAAUGGCCCUUGCCAUUCCUUGGCUAACAUCUUUGCAAUUUUAGCAAAUUUGACCCAUGGUGGAGG